AGGGUUCUUCCCAUGACUGUAAGGUAGUGAUGUUUCCUCUUCCUCCACAGCCCAGGCUUGCAUCCCUCCCUGCGGUAAGGACUUCAUCUAAAACUUGGAAAUUGCGGGGUAAGGGAGGCGGUCGGGGACGAAACGUACGACAUCAAGUGUGGGAAAGCGGGUGGGCUUCACAUCCUUAGGAAGCCAAUAAGAUCCCUGGAGAAAAGGAAGAAAACCAAGUAUUGCUCUAAAUCCUCAGAAGGUGUGUGUGAGAGCCGAAGCAAACCAAUAGGAAUCCUAGAGGGCGGAGAGGAGUGAGAGUCGGCCAAAGACAGCAGGGAGGGCGGGGUCAAGAUGCCACCUGGCCGAUGGACCCCGGGAAGCUGCAUGGAUCUCAAAUGGGCCAAGGGCCCCGGGCUUGGAAGGGCAGGUGGCGCCUAGACCCAGCGUUCCCGCUCCACAGGUCUCCAGGAGUUCGCCCGGCGUUUCCUCUGCAGCGGGUGCUACUCUAGGGUCUGCGACCUCCCGCUGGACUGCCCAGCAGUUCAGGAUGUGACAGUGACUCGGGGCGACCAGGCUAUGUUUUCUUGCAUCGUAAACUUCCAGCUGCCAAAGGAGGAGAUCACCUAUUCCUGGAAGUUCGCAGGAGGAGGUCUCCGGACUCAGGACUUGUCCUAUUUCCGAGAUAUGCCGCGGGCCGAAGGAUACCUGGCGCGGAUCCGGCCGGCUCAGCUCACGCACCGCGGGACGUUCUCCUGCGUGAUCAAGCAAGACCAGCGCCCCCUGGCCCGGCUCUACUUCUUUCUUAACGCUCGUGCCUGGCUGACGUGCGCGCCCCCGCAGUGACGGGCCCGCCCCCGCGGGCGGAGACAGAGUUGCAGGCCUCGUUCCGGGAAGUGCUGCGCUGGGCGCCGCGGGAUGCCGAGCUGAUCGAGCCCUGGAGGCCCAGCCUGGGCGAGCUGCUGGCCAGGCCCGAGGCUCUGACGCCCAGCAAUCUGUUCCUGCUUGCAGUCCUCGGGGCCCUCGCAUCAGCGAGUGCGACAGUGUUGGCGUGGAUGUUCUUUCGAUGGUACUGCAGUGGCAACUAACAAAGGUAUCUUUCCUCCUUCCCUAUCCUAUUUCCAUCCUGAAAAUAAAGAAUAUAUUUCAACUCUAGAUUGUUUCAUCUCCGAAGGUGGUCACUACUAACUCAGGUAGGAGGAGGUGCAGCAAGCCCACACAUGCCCAGAUGAAUAUGGCCCGCAUAAUGACAGUGAUAGGCAUAGCUAUCCCAGUGCAAGUUAGGUGGGAACCCAGAUACCCCCUCAGGUUACUGGCUGUCUCCUUGACAUUUCCAUCUGCAGAAGGCACCCUCAAAUAGAGUCCUCCAUGUUGCCCUCAGAGGCUGUUCCUCCCCAAGGCUUUCCUCCUACCAGAAAGAGCAACACCAUCCACCUAGCAGUUCAAACCAGAAACCUUGGAAUCUAACUUCUCCUCCACUUCCAAUUCAUUUUCAUUUCCAACCCUCAGACUUUUUAACUCCUAAAUAUCUCAUGAAGCUGCCUUCUCUGUGGUCCCAGUCACCCCCACCUCAUGUCUGGAUCACUGGAGCAGCCCCCCACCACCUCCUUGGCCUCUCUCCACUGUAGCCCAUUCUCUACAUACCAGCAGGACUUGUUUUAUUUUAUUUUAUUUUUUUGGAGGCACCAUCUCACUCCAAGGCCCAGGCUGGAGUGCAGUGAUGUGAUGUCAGCUCACUGCAACCUCCACCUCCCGGGUUCAAGCGAUUCUUCUGCCUCAGCCUCCCAAGUAGCUGGGAUUACAGGUGCCCACCACCACACCCGGCUAAUUUUUGUAUUUUUAGUAGAGACAGGGUUUCACCAUGUGGCCAGGCUGUUCUUGAACUCCUAACCUCAAGUGAUCCACCUGCCUUGGCCUCCCAAAGUGCUGGGAUUACAGGCGUGAGCCACCAAGCCCGGCCAAGGACUUAGGUUUUAAAGUGUGUCAGAUUGGGUUACUCCUCUACCCAGAAUCCUUUAGUGACUCCCUGUUGCCAUUGAGACAAAAUCCAAUUCCUUGUCAAAGCCUCAGAGGUUCCACAGGUCUGGCCUUUGCUGACCUCACCAGCAGCCUUGUCCCAUACCCCUUUCCUCCUUGAUCUUGCCACCCUGCGGUUUUUCUCUGGCCUUUCCUCCUUCCUCGCAUUCAUCAUGAUACUUCUUGCCCUCUCUAGGGUCUUGGUUCACACUGUUUCCUGCCUAGAAUAAUAUUUUCUCCUUUUUUUUGUCUAGUUAACUCUUAUGAUUUCCCCUGAGUAGCCAUUACAUCUAUUAACCCCGCUAAUCCCCUUGACAAGUCUGCGCGGCUGGCACUGUAUUGACUUAACUGACUCUACCUCUCCCUCAGGCCCCUUGCUACUUUCCAGCCCCAGUGGCCUCCUUAUUAGGUCCCUGGAACAUGCAAGUCUCAGUCCCAUUUCCAGGCCUUUGCUGUGCUUCAUACUUGAAAUGACUUUCCUCUGAGUAUCACAAACCCACCUCUCUCAUUGCACAGAUCCCAGAUCAAAUGUCUCCUUCUCUAACUACCUCUCUCUCCCUGUUUGACAUUGCCCAAUUUCACCUUGUUCACUGAGCUCAUCUGGACCUAAUGUUAACUCUUUUUUUUUUUUGAGUUUCGCUCUUGUUGCCCAGGCUGGAGUGCAAUGGUGCGAUGUCGGCUCACUGCAACCUCCACCUCCCGGGUUCAAGCGAUUCUGCUGCCUCAGCCUCCCGAGUAGCUGGGAACACAGGCAUGCGCCACCACACCUGGCUAAUUUUGUAUUUUUGGAAGAGACAGGGUUUCGCCAUUUUGGCCAGGCUGAUCUCAAACUCCUCACCUCAGGUGAUCCACCUGUCUCAGCCUCCCAAAGUGCUAGGGGAUUACAGGCGUGAGCCACCGCUCCCAGCCGUUAACUCAUUUUUUAAUUUGGUUUUGCCUUUCCUACCUGAAAGGGAAGCUCCUUUUGAGCAUGUACUCAUUCUUGUUCACUGGUCUAUUUCCCUUUAUUGAUUUGCUCAUUCAGCAAAUAUUUAUUGAGUGCUUACUAUUUUGUCAUGUAUUUUCAAGGCACUGUAGAGAUCCCAAUGAAGAAAUCAGAAGAGACAAAAAGUUUGUACAGUACUCACAUGGAACUUACAUUCUAGUGGACAGUAAAACAAAACUGUUUCUCUCUCUCCCUUUUUUUUUUUUUUUUGUUUUGUUUGAGAUGGAGUCCUGGAGUGCAGUGGCACAAUCUUGGCUCACUGCAGCCUUUGCCUCCUGGGUUCAAGCAAUUCUCGUGCCUCAGUGUCCCGAGUAGCUGGGACUACAAAGGCGUGUGCCACCAUGCCCAGCUAAUUUUUGUAUUUUUAGUAGAGACGGGGUUUCAAUAUGUUGGCCAGGCUGGUCUCAAACUCCUGACCUCAAGUGAUUGCCUGCCUCAGCCUCCCAGAGUGCUGAGAUUAUAGGCGUGAGCCACCGCGCCUGGCCAGAAAACUGUUUCUCUACUCUCAACAUUUCUGACACUACAUGUAUGGGAUUCUACCUCCUGCCCCCAUACCAACCAGUUCUCCAACUCUCCCGGACACCAGUUGAGUGUCCUAUAAUUCAUUUAAUUCUAAAAUCAACAACCCAGGGUUAGCGUCGCACUACACAGGUUUUAAGAGCUCAGGCCCACAAGACUGCCCCCACUUCAGACACCAGUCGCAAGCCAGGGGCUCCUGCAACCUGCAGCCCCCCAGCUCAGUAAUUUGCUAGAAUAGCUUGAAUAACUCAGGGAAACAUAUUUACUGGUUUAUUAUAAAGGAGAGUAUGAAGGAAAUAGCUUAAUAGCCAGAUGAAGAGGUAGAUAGGGUGAGGUCCAGAAGGGUCCCAAGUGCAGAAGUUUCUGUCUCCAUGGGAGCUGGGAUGCAGCGGCCUGUCAGUGCGUGGAUGCACUCACCAGCCUGGAAGCUCUGCAAACCCCAUAGUUUAGGGAUUGUUCUGGAGGCUGCACCAUGUAGGCAUGAUUGCUUAUGAACUUAGUCUCCACCCCUUUUUCCCUCCCCAAG
rnacentral:lncRNA from 1 species